GACGUAGGGCGCGAGCGUUGUCCGGAUUUAUUGGGCGUAAAGAGCUCGUAGGCGGCUUGCUAAGUCAGGUGUGAAACCUCCAGGCUCAACCUGGAGCCGCCACCUGAUACUGGUAUGGCUAGAGUCCGGUAGGGGACCACGGAAUUCCUGGUGUAGCGGUGAAAUGCGCAGAUAUCAGGAGGAACACCGGUGGCGAAGGCAGCUCGCUGGGACGGUACUGACGCUAAGGCGCGAAAGCGUGGGGAGCGAACAGG
rnacentral:rRNA from 1 species